GUGGUAGCUACUUUCCCCUAACCCAUUUGUCUAACCCUCUCCAAAGUCCCGGCAAACCUUCAAAAAGGCCUUUGGGGCCACAACUAUUUAAUGUUAGGAAAUUAGUUGAUAUUUAUCAUUUGACAUUAUGCCUCGGAAGUGUAAAGAUUGUCCCAUCUGCGGCAAGCGAGCUUUAAAAAGAUUGGCAAACCAUUUGGCAGACGUCCAUGAACUUUCAUCCCAAGAGAGACAACCUUAUCUUAUUCGUGCUAAGCCAACAGCUUUAGACUUAGAAAAUGUUUAGCAGAGUUGUACAGAUUAACUGGAAACAGUAAAAAGCAGUCAAAGUGGAAUAAAAGCGGGAUAAAGAAUAUAUCCAUCCGUCAACCAAAAUCCUCCAGGAAGAUCGAGAACAAAAUCGAACACAAAAUCUGCAAAGAACGUGGACAAUGCAGAAAUGAAUGAUGGCUCAAAGGAGCGGUUAAAGUUAGAAACAAAAACGGGACAAAACUCUGAAGUGGAUAAUAUAUUUAUACAGAC